UACAGAGGUCCCCAGCGUUGUUCGGAUUCACUGGACGUAAAGGGUGCGUAGGUGGUCGGGUAAGUCUGAUGUGAAAUCUCCGAGCUUAACUCGGAAACUGCAUCGGAUACUAUUCGGCUCGAGGGUUGGAGGGGGGGACUGGAAUGCUUGGUGUAGCAGUGAAAUGCGUAGAUAUCAAGAGGAACACCUGCGGCGAAGGCGGGUUGCUGGGCCGACACUGACGCUGAGGCGCGAAAGCCAGGGGAGCGAACGGG
rnacentral:rRNA from 1 species